GAAGAAAGCAAGUUUCACUGUAUUUCAUUGCGAAGUCACGCUGUUUCCCAGGAAUAAGAUGUUCAGCACUCGAUCUGGGACUCAAUCAGUAACUGCUUUAUGUCGGAGGCCUUUGUUGGAUUUCAGGCUCAGCGUGACUCAGAAUGUGGCACUCCUGCUAACUAAGAAGACGGGUGAACAGUGCCCAUGAUGAAGAGCCCAUUUUGUUGCCACACUCAGCUCCUGCAGAGAAAUGUGGAAAGGGUGCGGUCUGGAAUGAUCUGCUGAUAAGUGGGAAGGAGCAGUAGGAUCAGGUGGGAACACCAAAAACCUUGCUCCUUUCCUGACUCUGCUAAUGAGCAGCUCCAAGGGACUUCCCUGAUCCUUGUCCAGGCUCAUAUCCUGGCAAACACUGGUCUCCUGGGUCAUCCCUGACCCAGCCAGUGACAGUCCAGGAGGUCUGGGCAUGGGUGGGGGGCUGUGAGCUGGCUGUGCUUUCAGUGCUGCCCAAAGAGCCGCUUCUGUUAUUUUAAAAUUCAUGUCCUGAUCUUUGAUCAGGAGAGUGUGACCUUGGGGCUCCUUUCCUCAGAGUCAGUGCUUCCUGGCCAGCACUUUGGGCUGAUGUGUUUAAAGAAACAAGGGGGUUUUACAGUGCCCAAGGCUGAGCAAAACACUUCAGCCCUCUGCCUGUCUCCCUCUCUGUGGUAAAACACAAUGUGGGCUCUUCAUACCAGGCUCAGAGAGACAAGCCAGCCUAUUUCUUUGUCUCUCUGAUGUGUGUGGCGCCAGGCUCUGCCAGACUAUGAGACAAAGGCCAGCAGUCAUUGAAUUGGGAGAAAAAAGCAAUGAAAGCAGUGGAAUUUGGGUGGGAGGGUGAAGAAGCUGCUUCUGCCUCUGU